AGCCGAGGCCCGGUGCUGUAUUCUGCCGCCCAUUUUACCCGCGGGGAAGCUGAGGCCCAGUGCUGUUUAAUAUCUUACUCAUGUUCACUUGAUGAGAAAGUGACAGAUCUGAGACAAACCCAGAAAGGGACCAGCUUGACGAAGCUUCUGCUUUUGUGACUGUCUCCUAAUGGAUCUGGGGGUUUCUUCAAGCUCCCAGACUUGCUCAGGCACAUUGCAAAUAGCCAUGAUUUGAGAUGAUUUUCUUUAAUGCUGAAGCAGAUGAAGAACCCAGGUUCUUUUUAGUGGCAAGGCUUGUUUAUCAGCAGCUAUACAGCUAUGGGCACAGACACAGGUAAACAGCACAGAUGCUGGGAGAGGGCUGGCAUCUGACCGUGACCAUCACGCCCAUGUGACAAAGGAUGUCACCACAGUGAACAGUUCUGACCACAGUGGCUUUUCACCUGCUUCGUUAAAUUUAACUCACACCGGCUCAGAGGACAAUUUGAUUCAUUCUGUAUCUCAGCAGAAACCAGAGCACCUCAGAAGAUCAAGGCUUCCAAAUUCUCCUGGGGGAACAGACGUCAGCCAUUCAGCACAAAGGAAACUUCCUUCUCUGUAUGUCAGAGGAAGACAUAAUUGUGCCAUUUCCUUCUUGAAGAAGUUUACAAACAUUUGCAAGUUGUCAAAAAUAAUUAGUCUAAAAUUGUUUCAUAAACCGUGGAAUGAAACAGGACGUGCCUUGUUGAGAUCAAAGGGCUUCUGUUACCUUCUUGUAAACUCAAAUGAAAUUCUUUUGAAAGUAAACUCUUGGAAUUAGCA
rnacentral:lncRNA from 1 species